rnacentral:rRNA from 1 species
GACGAACGCUGGCGGCGUGCCUAAUACAUGCAAGUCGAGCGGACGAAUCGAAAGCUUGCUUUUGAUUCGUUAGCGGCGGACGGGUGAGUAACACGUGGGCAACCUGCCCUGUAGACGGGGAUAACACCGAGAAAUCGGUGCUAAUACCGGAUAACACGAAAUGUCGCAUGACGUUUCGUUGAAAGACGGCGCAAGCUGUCGCUACAGGAUGGGCCCGCGGCGCAUUAGCUAGUUGGUGAGGUAACGGCCCACCAAGGCGACGAUGCGUAGCCGACCUGAGAGGGUGAUCGGCCACACUGGGACUGAGACACGGCCCAGACUCCUACGGGAGGCAGCAGUAGGGAAUCUUCCGCAAUGGACGAAAGUCUGACGGAGCAACGCCGCGUGAGCGAAGAAGGCCUUCGGGUCGUAAAGCUCUGUUGUUAGGGAAGAACAAGUAACGCAGUAACUGGCGUUACCGUGACGGUACCUAACGAGAAAGCCACGGCUAACUACGU